UAAAAUAUUGUUUAAAAUUAUAUAAAUGAAAAAACACAGAAAACAUAUAUUUAAUUAAUCAUAAUUUUUUUAUGAGAUUUAAUAUUUUAGUUGGUUAAGUUAAUAUUGUAAAACCAAAAUUGAUUUCAGUAAAUUUCAGAUUACAUAUGUCAAACUAUUGCAAAAUCUACUUAGGAAAAUAGGGCGGUAUACUAAUGAAUCUGCUAAAUCCAUACUGCUAAAAUCCAAAAUACUUAAAUGCCCGUAGAAUUUUUUGGUAAACAAUAAAUUAGAUUUCUACAUUACCCUUUUUAUGCGUUGCUGAGUUAGUAAAAAAAAUGUAAUUGCUGAGAUGAUGAUGGUGAGAAACCGCAAUAAAUUAUGGUUUUAACUUUUAUCAAAACCAAAGAAACAGCAUUAAAUUAUAGUGCAAACUGACGAAUUAACUAGUCUGGUCAUGGGUAACGUAAACUAAUUAAAGUUAUACUAAUCUAGGAGAAUGGAUAACUAAAGUUUCUGCCAAACUCUACUACACAGAUAUUAACGAUUUCUGCCAACCCUCUAUAUAUCUAUAUAUACUAUAUUAAAAGGGAUAUAUGAGCUCCAUUAAGCCUAUCCACCUCAGCAUAAAAAAUUAUCCAAUUAAAACAUAAGUAAUUGACACAUCAGAUGACACAUCCUAUUUUCUUCAAUCGACGACCUUUCUUCCAAAAAGUUAUUGUUUCCCUUUCGUAUUCCCUUCUGAACCCUUCUUCCAACUUCAAUUAUAUCCCAGCUCCAAUCAAUCGAUUCCUCGCCUGCCUCAUCUUCAUCCUCCAAUGGCAAGGGUUGAUUGCUCGAACCUAGUCUCGAAGCUCUUCCCCUUCUUUUCCUUACUACCGUGAUUGGAACUUCGGUGUUGAUUCCAAUCUAAAGCCUAAGAUAUGUAUCACGACUAGCACAUCAGCUGGAUUGGAUCAGAUUCUACCGUGGAUGUUCUACCAUAAGGUUCUUGGCGUAUCCACGUUUUUUCUUUUUGUAUAAGGGAAAGCUGCUACGCCCACCAUUUCUAAAGUUCUCGAGUCUAUUCCUUAGGCUUAGAAGAAGCAUAAAAAUGAUGGUGUAAAACCGAAGAGACCAUAAAAAAAAGGAGGAGGAAGAUAGAAAAAAGACAUGGAGAAGUCAAAGAAAGGAUAAAAGUCUAUAGUGCAUGGAGUUAAGUUAGAUGAUGUUGCUCGGUUACUGAAUCGUGCUCGCAACUACUCAGCUGUGUGCUUACAUGGCUUAUAUCAGCCGAGAAUAUAAGAAAAGAAAAGUAUGGAGAAUGAGAUGUUAGGUGAAGCUUUUAAGAAGCUUCAGAACCCAUAUGAGAUAGUGAUUGUGGUUCAUCAUUUGUAUCGGCGCAUCAAGUUCAUCCAUCUCUGAUCUCCCUAGCUGUUUCUACUGGGGCCAAAACCAACAUGGAGGUGUUGUUAGAGGUGGUUGAGGAAGAGGCCAAGCUGGUGGUGGCAAAGCCGCAAAGACAAUAAAGAUAACAAAAACUGAAGGUUUUCUACAUUUGUGGAUCAUCGGGUGAACACGCUCCUGUCUCUAGGAGUAUCCGGAGCUAAAUCCUUUGUUGCUCAGAUUUGUGCAAUGAUCUUUUUUUGUAAUUCAGUGGCUACAUGAGAGUUUUUUCUGAUUGACUCAGAGUUUAGAGUCUACAACGAGUGUACGGUAGGAGACGGUAAUGAUGAUAGAGCUGAAUGAUAGCGGUGAAUGACUGACUCAUCACACGAUCGGGAAGAAGUAUAAGCUGAAGGCGAACGGUGAAGACGGACCAGUCAUUUUCUUAUGCAAGGAAGACAGGAAUGAUUCCAUCUCCAUCAGUAACUUAACUCUCUUCACACUCAAGAUGGUGUGGUUACAGUUCUCUGUUUUCUCGACUCUUGAGUUGUUAGUUAUCUAAUGGUAAGAUAUUUUCUCUGUAUGUAAACUUGAUCGUCCACGAAUUAACUCUCAUGUAUUUUGGUUUCUAUUUGUCAGAACAGAGUAUGUCGAUGAUUUUAGCCCAUAACAGUUGUCAGUAAAUUGACUUGAUUUA